rnacentral:rRNA from 1 species
UAAUUUAAAGUCUAGCCUGCCCAAUGAUUGUUAAAUGGCCGCGGUAUUUUGACCGUGCUAAGGUAGCAUAAUCAAUAGUUUUUUAAUUGAAAGCUGGAAUGAAGGGUUGGAUAAGAAAAUAACUGUUUUUAUUUAAUUUAAUUAGAAUUUUAUUUUUAAGUUAAAAAGCUUAAAUUUUAUUAAAAGACGAGAAGACCCUAUAGAGUUUUAUAAAUAACCAUAUUAAUAUAUUAAGAAUUAAUUUUAUUAAUAAGUAUAUUUAUUUAAUUGGGGUGAUUGAAAAAUUAAAUAAACUUUUUUUAUAUUAAAACAUCUAUAAAUGAAUAUUUGAUCCAUGAUUAAUGAUUAUAAGAUAAAAUUACCUUAGGGAUAACAGCGUUAUCUUUUUUUAGAGUUCAAAUCGAAAUAAAGGAUUGCGACCUCGAUGUUGGAUUAAAAUUAAUUUUUGGUGUAGAAGCUAAAAUAUUAGGUCUGUUCGACCUUUAAAAUUUUACAU